rnacentral:rRNA from 1 species
CGCGGCCUAUCAGCUUGUUGGUGAGGCAAUAGCUUACCAAGGCGACGACGGGUAGCCGGCCUGAGAGGGUGACCGGCCACACUGGGACUGAGACACGGCCCAGACUCCUACGGGAGGCAGCAGUGGGGAAUAUUGCACAAUGGGCGAAAGCCUGAUGCAGCGACGCCGCGUGAGGGACGACGGCCUUCGGGUUGUAAACCUCUUUCAGUAGGGAACAAGGCAUCAUUUUUGUGGUGUUGAGGGUACUUGCAGAAGAAGCACCGGCUAACUACGUGCCAGCAGCCGCGGUAAUACGUAGGGUGCAAGCGUUAUCCGGAAUUAUUGGGCGUAAAGAGCUCGUAGGCGGUUUGUCGCGUCUGUCGUGAAAGUCCGGGGCUCAACUCCGGAUCUGCGGUGGGUACGGGCAGACUAGAGUGAUGUAGGGGAGACUGGAAUUCCUGGUGUAGCGGUGGAAUGCGCAGAUAUCAGGAGGAACACCGAUGGCGAAGGCAGGUCUCUGGGCAUUAACUGACGCUGAGGAGCGAAAGCAUGGGGAGCGAACAGGAUUAGAUACCCUGGUAGUCCAUGCCGUAAACGUUGGGCACUAGGUGUGGGGGACAUUCCACGUUUUCCGCGCCGUAGCUAACGCAUUAAGUGCCCCGCCUGGGGAGUACGG